AUAAGCGCUCGCAGAUUCUUGGUCCCUUACCUUAGAUCCUGUACAGGCAGCGUUUGGACCGGAAGACAAGGGCCCGUUAUUUGAGUCUUGACAACUCGCGUGACAGGCAGGAGGGUGUAUAUUCCCCGUCAACAUGAAGGUCGCGCUGUUGUGCAUUGCAGCCGCUCUGGCCGUGGCAUUUGCCAUUCCCCCGCCAGAAUCCGGGGAAGCUUUUGCGUUUGACAAAGCCUCAGCUGCAUCUGCUACGUCCAAGCCCUCAGUGUUACCGAGGAUGACCAAGAUGCAACGGGUUGCGCCUGCAUUAUUCUCACCAGUACUGAUACCUUCAUAAGAAAUCCAAGGAUGACCCGGCCUAACGACUAGUGUCAACAAACCUUCUUUUUUUUAUCUUGUAAAUCAUACACACAUGUAGUCCUACCUAAAAAGCGGGGUAGGCCUAGUAAGAAUGGUUGGUGGCUCCCUAUGUAUUUUAUUUGAUGUUGGCAAAUCUAAAAUAUAUACAAAAACAUGUUUAUCUUUAUAGUAUAUUCCUGAUACAUCGUUAAGGAGAGGAUCUUUUUAGUGGAUAGAACGACCAUAUGUAAGUUCAUCUAUUUCUACAAAAUAAAUUAGAAUCUGUGACAACAGGAUAAGAUUCUCCGAUGCACCAGUAAAAAAAAAAAUGUUU